UGAACCAAAUUAAUAACCUGCAGUGCAGCUCGAAUGCUUCGAUCGCCGUACUAGUAUAAGAAUCCCCCAUUGCUCGAUCGAUUCUUUCAUCAUAUCCAUCUAGAUCAUAUCGAGCUUUUGUUUCUUUGGAAGCAAGAUUUGAUCUUGGCAAGAAAGGUUUGGUCUUGGCCGGGUUUUCUUGCAAGAAAGAUUUGAGCUUGGGUUGGAUGAUGAUGAUGGGAUACUUCCGGGCGCCGAGGAGGAAGGCGGGGAGGGAGGAGGGC
rnacentral:lncRNA from 1 species